AGGGUGUAAACGCUGCGGGCUUGGUGUUGGGGGUCCUUUGAGGGCGCCCAGUGCCGGAGAGAAGUUGUUAAGCCUGCUGCUUGGGGAGUACGUCCGCAAGGAUGAAACUUAAAGGAAUUGGCGGGGGAGCACCGCAACGGGAGGAGCGUGCGGUUCAAUUGGAUUCAACGCCGAAAAACUCACCAGGAGCGACGGAUAUAUGAAGGUCAAGCUGAUGACUUUACCUGAUUUUCAGAGAGGAGGUGCAUGGCGUCAGUGACU
rnacentral:rRNA from 1 species